rnacentral:rRNA from 1 species
GUUUGAUCAUGGCUCAGAUUGAACGCUGGCGGCAGGCCUAACACAUGCAAGUCGAGCGGCAUCGGGAAGGUAGCUUGCUAUCUUUGCCGGCGAGCGGCGGACGGGUGAGUAAAGUCUGGGGAUCUGCCUGAUGGAGGGGGAUAACUACUGGAAACGGUAGCUAAUACCGCAUGAUGUUACGCGACCAAAGCGGGGGACCUCCGGGCCUCGCGCCAUCAGAUGAACCCAGAUGGGAUUAGCUAGUAGGAGAGGUAAUGGCUCCCCUAGGCGACGAUCCCUAGCUGGUCUGAGAGGAUAACCAGCCACACUGGAACUGAGAGACGGUCCAGACUCCUACGGGAGGCAGCAGUGGGGAAUAUUGCACAAUGGGCGCAAGCCUGAUGCANCCAUGCCGCGUGU